rnacentral:rRNA from 1 species
UACGUAGGGGGCAAGCGUUGUCCGGAUUUAUUGGGCGUAAAGAGCGUGUAGGCGGCCAGGUAGGUCCGCUGUGAAAACUCGAGGCUUAACCUCGAGAUGUCGGUGGAAACCAUCUGGCUAGAGUCCGGAAGAGGAGAGUGGAAUUCCUGGUGUAGCGGUGAAAUGCGCAGAUAUCGUAAGGAAGACCAGUGGCGAAGGCGGGUCUCUGGACAGUGCCUGACGCUGAGGCACGAAGGCCAGGGGAGCAAACGGG